AGUGAACGCUGGCGGUAGGCCUAACACAUGCAAGUCGAACGGCAGCACAGUAAGAGCUUGCUCUUACGGGUGGCGAGUGGCGGACGGGUGAGGAAUACAUCGGAAUCUACUUUUUCGUGGGGGAUAACGUAGGGAAACUUACGCUAAUACCGCAUACGACCUACGGGUGAAAGCAGGGGAUCUUCGGACCUUGCGCGAUUGAAUGAGCCGAUGUCGGAUUAGCUAGUUGGCGGGGUAAAGGCCCACCAAGGCGACGAUCCGUAGCUGGUCUGAGAGGAGGAUCGGCCACACUGGAACUGAGACACGUCCCAGACUCCUACGGGAGGCAGAAGUGGGGAAUAUUGGACAAUGGGCGCAAGCCUGAUCCAGCCAGACCGCGGGGGUGAAGAAGGCCUUCGGGUUGUAAAGCCCUUUUGUUGGGAAAGAAAAGCAGCAGGUUAAUACCCCGCUGUUCGGACGGUACCCAAAGAAUAAGCACCGGCUAACUUCGU
rnacentral:rRNA from 1 species